rnacentral:lncRNA from 10 species
UGAGGAAUUGGGAUGUAUUACCGGGCCCAGCACCUGGUAGACUUGACUGUACUUUUUUGCCUGGACUCUCCCUACAGAAGUGAUUGGGACAAAUCAAUGGGCCAAGCACCCAGGGUGAUUUGUAACACAUUGCUGGACCCAGCACCCAGAUAAUUUGGCUCUCCUGCUAUGGCCCUGCCCACAGAAGGCAUUGUGAUAUAUCAGUGGACUCAGCAGCCAGGUCAUGUGACUUUCCUGCCAGGGCUCUUCUCUCAAAAUGGAUACUGACAUAUCUCUGGGUCAUCAUUCAGGCACCUCAUAUCUCACCCUGGAAACAAGCCAUAUGAAUGUGAAGAAAAUAGACAGAAGCCAGAUAAACCUUAACAAUGUCAGAAAGCCAUCAUUUUGUUCACACAUCUUCAAGGACACAUGGCAUUGCACACUAGAAAUGGACCUUAUAAAAGUACUGUAUGUGAAAAAGC